GACGAACGCUGGCGGCGUGCUUAACACAUGCAAGUCGAACGGAAAGGCCCUGCUUUUGUGGGGUGCUCGAGUGGCGAACGGGUGAGUAACACGUGAGUAACCUGCCCUUGACUUUGGGAUAACUUCAGGAAACUGGGGCUAAUACCGGAUAGGAGCUCCUGCUGCAUGGUGGGGGUUGGAAAGUUUCGGCGGUUGGGGAUGGACUCGCGGCUUAUCAGCUUGUUGGUGGGGUAGUGGCUUACCAAGGCUUUGACGGGUAGCCGGCCUGAGAGGGUGACCGGCCACAUUGGGACUGAGGUACGGCCCAGACUCCUACGGGAGGCAGCAGUGGGGAAUAUUGCGCAAUGGGCGGAAGCCUGAUGCAGCAACGCCGCGUGCGUGAUGACGGCCUUCUGGUUGUAAACCGCUUUCGCCUGUGACGAAGCGUGAGUGACGGUAAUGGGUAAAGAAGCACCGGCUAACUACGUG
rnacentral:rRNA from 1 species